GAUGAAGAACGUAGCGAAAUGCGAUACGUAAUGUGAAUUGCAGAAUUCAGUGAAUCAUCGAAUCUUUGAACGCAUAUUGCGCUCUCUGGUAUUCCGGAGAGCAUGCUUGUUUGAGUAUCAGUAAACACCUCAACUCCCUUUUCUUUUUUGAAAUGGGAGCUGGACUUGAGUGAUCCCAACACUUUUCUCACUGGAAAGUGGCGGGUCACUUGAAAUGCAGGUGCAGCUGGACUUUUCUCUGAGCUAUAAGCAUAUCUAUUUAGUCUGCCUAAAAAACAGAUUAUUACCUUUGCUGCAGCUAACAUAAAGGAGAUGAGUUCUUGUGCUGACUGAUGCAGGAUUCACAGAGACAGCUUUGCGGCUGACUUUGUAAACUCGAUCUCAAAUCAAGUAAGACUACCCGCUGAACUUAAGCAUAUCAAUAAGCGGAGG
rnacentral:misc_RNA from 1 species